UAUUUAAAGAAGAAACAGCCGUUUCUCACCUUACAGUUAAGCUAGUAAGGUUAACUGUUUAAUAAAUUUGUGUAUUACAGAGGGCGGCAUUUGUCGCCCUCUUAUUUAUAUAAUU
rfam:Clostridium argentinense CDC 2741 T732.Contig246, whole genome shotgun sequence.